GAUGAAUGCUGGCGGCGUGGAUAAGGCAUGCAAGUCGCACGGCCCCAUACCAAAUUUUGGUGAGGGGCAGUGGCGAACGGGUUAGUAGCACGUAGAUACCUACCCUCAAGUCUAGCAUAAUCCCGCGAAAGCGGGACUAAUACUAGAGGUCUCGCAAGAGUAAAGCUCCGGCGCUUGAGGAAGGGUCUGCGGCCUAUCAGCUUGUUGGUGGGGUAAUGGCUCACCAAGGCGAUGACGGGUAGGGGACAUGAGAGUGUGUUCCCCAACAGGGAAACUGAGACACGGUUCCCACUCCUACGGGAGGCAGCAGUCGAGAAUCUUCGGCAAUGGGCGCAAGCCUGACCGAGCGACGCCGCGUGUUCGAUGAAGCCCUUCGGGGUGUAAAGAACUUUUAUGGAGGAAGAACCUUCGGGUGACAGUACUCCAUGAAUAAGGGGCCGCUAAACUCGUGCCAGCAGCGGCGGUAAUACGAGUGCCCCGAGCAUUAUCCGGAUUUAUUGGGCGUAAAGAGCCUUAAGGCGGUUAAGAAAGUUUCCUGUCAAAUUCUGGGGCUUAACCUCAAGAGCGCGGGAGAUACUACUUUACUAGAGGGCGUUAGAGGCCAGCGGAACGGCCGGUGUAGGGGUGAAAUCCGAUGAUAUCGGCCGGAACACCAAAAGCGAAGGCAGCUGGCUGGGGCGACCCUGACGCUGAUUGGCGAAAGCGUGGGGAGCAAAAAGGAUUAGAUACCCUUGUAGUCCACGCUGUAAACGAUGGACGCUGGCUGGUGGAAGUGUCGACCCUUUCACCGGCGAAGGUAACCCGUUAAGCGUCCCGCCUGGGAAGACGAUGGCAACGUU
rnacentral:rRNA from 1 species